UAGCACCGUGAGAUUAAGCCAUCCCGGCAGGUGCUCACGUUAAACCAAUUGACUUUAAUUGUCCCUAUCUACUAUCUAGCGAAACCACAGCCAAGGGAACGGGCUUGGAAUAAUUAGCGGGGAAAGAAGACCCUUUUGAGCUUGACUCUAAUCUGGCAGUGUAAGGAGACAUAAGAGGUGUAGAAUAAGUGGGAGAUAUUAGACUUCGGUUUGGUAUCGACAAUGAAAUACCACUACUCUUAUUGUUUCCUUACUUACUUGAUUAAAUGGAACGUGUAUCAUUUCAUAGCCAUUAUACGGAUGUAUUUAUUAUAUCUUAUGGUAUUGGGUUUUGAUGCAAGCUUCUUGAUCAAAGUAUCACGAGUUUGUUAUAUAAUCGCAAACAAAUUCUUUAAUAAGAAAAUGCAUUUAUGUAUUUUUGAUUUAAAAAUUUGGUAUAACUCCAAUUACUCAGGUAUGAUCCAAUUCAAGGACAUUGCCAGGUAGGGAGUUUGACUGGGGCGGUACAUCUCUCAAAUAAUAACGGAGGUGUCCCAAGGCCAGCUCAGUGCGGACAGAAACCACACAUAGAGCAAAAGGGCAAAUGCUGACUUGAUCUCGGUGUUCAGUACACACAGGGACAGCAAAAGCUCGGCCUAUCGAUCCUUUUGGUUUAAAGAGUUUUUA
rnacentral:ncRNA from 1 species